GAAGCUAUAUCCAGUCUAUUACUAGAUCAGUGGUUUUUCUAAACAAAAACAACAUCUUUGUUCUUCUCUUUUCGUUUUUGUCGAAUUGAGAAGAUUGCCUUGUUUAAUUUAUUUCCAUAACCAAUCAGUGUUAUAACAAGUGAAAUCAAAUCUUUGUCAUCGAGUUUUGCUAUAGCUAUCUGAAAGUUUAUCAUAAACAAGUUUCAUGAAAAUUAUUCUGAUGGGUCAUGUUAAUCGAAGCCAACUACGAUCCUGUAAUAUACAUAUACAUUUGCUUUAAGUAUUUUCAAUUCAUGAAUGUUAAAGAAACACAAGAAAUUUCUUAGUUUUCUUACCAAUUGAAGUUAAGGGACGUUGAAUACGAUAUUAUCCUUUGUGUCAAGAGAGCAUAUCCAUUUAUCAACAAUGGCAAUAAUCUUUGCAAAACUAGGGCGCUCACGUCUUUCUCCUCGCCAGCACUUUAGCAUGAGCUGAUGAACUUCUCUUGGACAGCCCUAAGCACAUGAUAUAACGUGUUACUGAGAUAGCAAUCCAAAGAUCCAUUGCUCAUGAAUGACAAUCAAUUGAAAGAUUGGGACCGCAGAGAAGAUAAAUAUCAACAGUCAUGACACCUUCAACUUAGCAAUGUUUUGAUUGUUGAAUUGUCUUAAAUUGAGGCUUCUAUCAUGAAAUCCUUUCAACUCUUUCUGUUUACCUUUGUGUCUACCUUUAUGUCUACCUUUAUGCCUACCUUUAUGGCCUACCUUUGUGUCUACCUUUAUGUUUAUCCUCGUUUAUUGCGGGUUAAUGACGGUUAUUUGUACGACCAACAAUUACAUUCCAUCCCAGAAUAUUAAUAUAGACGACAUAAGCCACAUUUGAAAAAAUCGGCAUGAACGACAUAAAUGACGAAGAGAGACGUAAACGACAUUUCAAAAGAACGACAUGAAUGACAAAAAGACAACAUGAACGACAGGAAGUAACCUAUCAAGUAGUAAGUUUUUGUGCAAAAUAUAAAUACUGAAUAUAAGUAUUGAAGUACUUCUCACUGAGAUACAUGCAUUAUUCAUUAACGCACAGAUAUUUCUAAAUCCAGGUCCGCAGAGACACAAUUCAUAGGUAAAUGAAUCUAGUUAGACGCCAUUUUCUUGAAUGCGCCAUGAUGAAAGCAGUUAUUUAUCUUUUUUUAGAUCAAAACUCGUGCGAUGAUAAAUGCAAGGGAAGAUCAUUCAGCUGCAAAGCUUUUUGUAGAUAGGUCACUCAUAGUUUACAGCUUUACUAUGCUUUGCCUCUUCGUGUAUACGUUGUUAAAAUGAAUAACAAACAGUGCAGGAGUUUUUGGGAAAAUACUUAGCUGCCUUCAAUGUAUUUGUUCCUUGUUUUUACUAACAACAAUAUACAAUUUUGUAUUAGGUAAAUUUCAAUUAAUAUUAUAGUCCUCCUCAUUAUAUUCUUGGACAUUAUUUACAUUUUAUAUGUUUUAUACAGGCACUAGUCUAUGGUCAGUUGUACCCUCGUACCUAUUAUUAUAACGUCAUAACUCGACUUGUGUAAGUUUAUAUAUUCUAAAAGCAACUACUGUAAAAGUUUUUAUUUGUAAUAAUCUUUACUUUGUUGAAUUGAAUAAUUUGAAACUAUUACCUAAAAA